GCAGCUCAGUGGUAGAGCAUCUGCUCUGGAUGCAGAUGGUCCCAUGUUAAUUCCCUGGCAUCUCCA